rnacentral:rRNA from 1 species
AUUGAACGCUGGCGGCAGGCAUAACACAUGCAAGUCGAACGAGUGGCGGACGGGUGAGUAAUGUCUGGGAAACUGCCUGGUAGUGGGGGAUAACGUCCGGACACGGGCGCUAAUACCGCAUACUCUCAGCUGAGCCUAGGUCGGAUUAGCUAGUUGGUGGGGUAAAGGCCUACCAAGGCGACGAUCCCUAGCUGGUCUGAGAGGAUGACCAGCCAAACUGGAACGUAGGCACGGUCCAGACUCCGACGGGAGGCAGCAGUGGGGAAUAUUGCACAAUGGGCGCAAGCCUGAUUCAGCCAUGCCGCGUGUAUGAAGAAGGCCGUCGGGUUGUAAAGUACUUUCAGCGGGGAGGCGUUACCCGCAGAAGAAGCACCGGCUAACUCCGUGCCAGCAGCCGCGGUAAUUC